ensembl:lncRNA
CGGCGCAAUUUUCCGUCUCGUAAACGGUCGUUGCCAUUUGAAACGGUUGAUGCCAUUUCCGACCAUGUCCGAUUGCGUCCGCUCUCCGAUCUUGAAUUCCGAAUGCUUCGUGAACGGAAUUAAAACAUGGCGGACGUAGAGGAGCCAGGACCUGCAUCAGGUCACUUGGAGUCAGUUAAAAACAGCACAGGGUGGAAUGUUUUUUUCCGCUCAGUUGCCUUUAGGUUGGACAAAAGGCUGUUCCAGUGAAAUAUCCAGUGUUCCAGUGGAGUCUCAAAAGGAUUACAGAGGGGUUAGCGGCGGAGCAGCUGGUGCCGGGCGGAGGUAAUGGUGUUGUGUUAUGCGCCGCCACGCCCGGGGUUCUUGAAGAGCGAUGAAGAAACGCGCCGUCCCCCACAGAGGAAGAGGGGGUUGCUUCGCCGCUGAUGAGCGAUGGAGGACAGAGGGGGGCGACGGUUCAGUCGAA